rnacentral:rRNA from 1 species
CCUACGGGAGGCAGCAGUGAGGAAUAUUGGUCAAUGGCCGUAAGGCUGAACCAGCCAAGUAGCGUGAGGGAAGACUGCCCUAUGGGUUGUAAACCUCUUUUAUGCGGGGAUAAAGGUGUACACGUGUGGCUGUUUGCAGGUACCGCAUGAAUAAGGACCGGCUAAUUCCGUGCCAGCAGCCGCGGUAAUACGGAAGGUCCGGGCGUUAUCCGGAUUUAUUGGGUUUAAAGGGAGCGUAGGCGGGUCUUUAAGUCUGCCGUGAAAUUUUGUGGCUCAACCAUGAGAGUGCAGCGCAUACUGGAGAGCUAGAGUGCGGGGGAGGGAGGCGGAAUUCGUGGUGUAGCGGUGAAAUGCUUAGAUAUCACGAAGAACCCCGAUUGCGAAGGCAGCCUGCCGCAGCGUGACUGACGCUGAGGCGCGAAAGCGGGGGUAGCAAACAGGAUUAGAUACCCGGGUAGUC